UUUUUCUGCAAAUAUUUUUUAAAUUGAUUAUAUCCAAAAAACCUAGGAAGAUUUUCUAAAAAAAAAUCACGGUUUAUUAAAGAUUAGAUCUACUUAUUUCAAUUUUAUAUAACUCAGAUGUAAAAUGAGAACUUUUCGUAUACUCAUAUGGAUCCAUAUGAUUGCUUCGAUUAGUAUCGUCCCGUAGUCUCGAAUUAUGAUUAACUUUAUACGUUUUGUCGCUUUACGAAAAGGUGAAAAAAUGUGAAAUUGGAUUUACAAGCUAAAUACCAAUUUUCAAUUAAUACCUUGAUAUAUAUAGGUGCACAUUCUAUUAUCAAUCAAAAGGGUCAUAUCCUACCGAGACCUCGGAUAUGCAUUAUUAUGAUAUUUUGUUUUCUAUUAAAAUAUUAAAUUUUAGUAGAUCAACUUGCCCUUAAAAAUAGACCUCUCAAUACUCCAUUCAGUCCAUAGAAAAUAUUGUACAUAUUCUCCAGUACUAAUAUAACAAACUAUUCAAAAUGAUAUUCCUAUUCUCACCCAAGAAGCUGUUGUCAGCGAAAACAAUUAUGCAUCAAUUCUAACUAUUCAAGAUGAUAUUUCUAUUCUCACCCAAGAAGCUGUUGUCAGUGAAAAUAAUUAUGCAUCAAUUCCAUAUCAAU